ACUGCUCAUCUCAUCAGGAUGAAAAGAAUACUAAUACUACUGCUCACUGCUCACUGCUCACUGCUCAUCACUCAUCCAAUUGGGCCUCAGCAUCAAAGCCCAAACCACUACUUCUUCUAUCUUUAUGGGCUUUCCACUUCAUGUUUGGACUGUCUUCUCAACCUCCCACUCCCACGCCUCUGCGCGAGUACACUCUCUCAAACUUACUUCCCUCUCCCUUGCCCUACCUUAGCUAUUCUCAUUUGUACUCGCCCCCAAAUCUCCCCAUCCACCCUCCCUCUGCUCCGCCCUUCCACCUCUACUGUUGACGUACUCAUCAUGCAAUCAAUUUCUCAACUGUUUUACGCAAUGUGAGUUCUUCCCCCAAAUUUCAAAGUUACAAUUGAGGUCAUAUUUUCCUUCGGUUAGCCCACAAAUUCGCACCCGAUCGAAUCUUUCUUUCUUGCACAGUGCUAGUGUUCUUUUUCGACUUCAGUCUUCCUCUUCUUCUUUCUUUUGUGUGUCCCUGUCUCUACGACCAAGUAUACCCCUCUAUCCUCACUGCGAGGGGUUGCUGCAGAAACAAGAAACACAGUUUAUUCUCAAUGAGGAUCCCUCUCGACCCUCCAACCGCUGAAAAUCAUAAACACAAUCACCUGUUUGCUGACACUGCUACAGUUGAAGUGCGCAGUGGAGAUCAAGCAACUGCUGUUGCGCCUGAAUAUGAUAGGAGCAAAUUGGCUGAUGGGGAUGGAGGGGAAACCAGUUAUCGUAAAUCAUUAGAGCCUCAUGGGAGCAUGGAAUUUGAGUCCAAAGAGGAUGCUUUCAACUUUUAUAAAGAAUAUGCAUCCUCUGUCGGAUUUUCUGCCAUCAUAAAAGCCAGUCGUCGGUCAAGGAUUUCAGGGAAAUUCAUCGACGCGAAAUUUGUGUGUACCAGAUAUGGAAGCAAGCGAGGCACGUCUUUGUAUGAAAACUCGCAACCUGCGGAUGACACAGCAAGCAGGGACCCUGUGAAGAAAAAGCGAGGCAGAAUAAACAGAUCCGCGUCAAAAACAGAUUGCAAGGCUUGUUUGCAUGUUAAGAGAAGGCAGGACGGAAGGUGGACUAUUAGCAGUUUUUUAAGUGAGCAUAAUCAUGAACUUGUUCUGGACCAGGCUGGUCGAACAAGUUUGGAUAUCUGUCAUCACAAUGCUUAUGCGCUCAAUGCUGUCCAGGCUAAGAAAAAAAAGACAUUUAUAUCCAUGUCUCCACAAUCUGGUCGGGUGCAGAAAGCUGAGGGUCAUGCGACCGCCGGUUCGAGCUUUUAUGGAUCGCGUUUAGGUUUUCGGGAGGGAGAUGCGCAGGUCAUGUUUGAAUAUUUUUCUUGUAUGCAAGAAGAGAACCCAUACUUCUUCUAUGCGAUGGAUUUGGAUAGAGAGCAGCAUUUGAAAAAUGUCUUCUGGGUCGAUGCAAAAGGUAGGAUUGAUUACCAGAUCUUUGGAGAUGUAGUGUUGUUUGACACUAUGUAUAAAAAGAAUGAAUUUAAAUUGCCAUUUGUUCCCUUUAUUGGCGUGAAUAAUCACUUUCAGUUCCUGUUACUUGGAUCUGCAUUAGUUGCGGAUGAGAGUAAAUCUACAUAUGUUUGGCUGAUGCGGGCUUGGAUUAGGUCAAUGCGUGGCCAAGUUCCAAAAGUGAUAUUGACUGAUCAAGACCCAGCACUAAGAGAAGCCAUAGCUGAAGUUCUUCCAGGGUCUCGCCAUUGUUUUUGUUUGUGGCACAUAUUGAGUAAGAUUCAGGAAAAGCUUGGUUGCGUUAUAAGACAGCAUGAGAACUUUAUGGAUAAAUUUUAUAAGUGCAUUUUAAAGGCACAAACCGAAGCACAGUUCGAAAAAAGAUGGUGGAAAUUGGUAGAUAGAUUUGAUUUGAGAACCGAUCAGUGGGUGCAAUCAUUGUAUGAUGAACGCCUAAGAUGGGUUCCGAUGUUCAUGAAAGAUAUAUUUUUGGCAGGGUUGUCUUCAACACAACGUCUGGAUAGUAUUACUUCUCUUUUAGAUAAAUGCUUAUCGCGUAAAACAAGUUUAAAAGAGUUUUUGCAUCAAUAUACCAUAAUGUUACAGGACAAGUACGAAGAUGAAGCAAAAGCAGAUUUUGAUACUUGGCAUAGGCAACCAGGACUGAAGUCUCCCUCACCUUACGGGAAACAAAUGGCCAAAAUAUAUACUCAUGCUGUAUUCAAAAAAUUCCAAGUUGAGGUUUUGGGCGUGGUUGCUUGUCACCCAAAACUAGAAGGCAAAGAUGGUCCAACCACAACAUUCAAGGUUCAAGACUUUGAACAAAAUCAAGUCCAUAAAGUGAUAUGGAAUGAAAAAACAGCCGAUACAUCUUGUACAUGCCGGUUGUUUGAGUACAAUGGUUUUCUUUGUAGACAUGUGAUGAUUAUUCUUCAAAUUUCUGGUGUGAAUAAUAUCCCAGGCAAGUAUAUCUUGAAACGCUGGACGAAAGAUGCAAAGAAAAGAGAGGCAGUGAAACAAAUAGAUGCCACUGUGUCCAGGAAUCAGCGCUACAACGACUUAUGUCAGCGUGCUUGUAAACUAGGUAAUGAAGGGUCACUAUGCCAAGAGACUUACAGCAUUGUUUUUACUGCACUGGAGGCAGCUCUAAUAAAGUGUGAGAGCAUCAAUAGCUCAGUUCAAAAUGUAACGGGGCCCAGUUCUCCCUCAAAUGAUCGUCUUCAUGAAUUUGAAGUGACUCGAGGUAAGUUCAGUGGCAAGACUAUCAAAGAGGGCAUCAUCUCCGGAAAAGAAAAGGGGUAUCUAAAUUUUCGACCAUCAGCGGUUGAUUGUUCUUAUGUAUCACAAGAAAGUGUACGAUGGAUGGGACAACUAAAUUUGAGAGUUCCAACUAUUGGUGGCAUUUCUGGCAACCAGGAUAUUGUUCCAGUGGACCAACUGAAUAGAAUUGAUGAUUGCCAAGCACACAUCGCGGACCUGGUGGGACAAUGGAACUCAACAGCAUCAUCUAACAUUGCACAUCACCUCUGUUUAGAAAGAUUGCAUGAAACUGUCUAGGAUGAUAUCACGAGGCUGCACUUUUAUAUUUGGACAGAAAGUGAAAAUCUCUGGGAGAAAAUUCAUUUCAGAUCACAGAACAUUGGGAAUUUGUUGCCAAUCCAGCCAAACAUGUUAGUCUUGUUGCUGAAUCCACAGUUUAAGGAUCAUUGAAAGAUAGUGAUAAAAACUAAUUUUCCAACUCUUGGCUGUUGAGGAGAAGAGGUAGACAUGAAUAAGCCUUGUUCAGUGAUGCUCGGUAGAGUUGAUCAACUUGCUUUAUAUUUAAGAAAGCAAUUCAAGGUUGACAGGUCGGAGGCAAAACUGAUAAUAGAGAUUCAUAAAAUUGCAUCCGCAUGCAUGGCGAAGGGAUUAAAGUUUACACAACAUACGCCCGUCUCCUCCAAAGCCAUCGUCUAACUUCUCUAGUUCUCCUAUUCGUCCAGCAUUGGAUGGAUCGCAUGGUCCUUCAGGAUCAGAAUGGCCAAGGUUGCAGCACAAAUCUUAUUAGAAGCCGGAUGUUGUCAUUUCUCUUUACACUCAUUGACCCAUAAUUUUUACAAAUAGGAAAAAGUUGCCGGUCAUAUCCAAAACGUAUGCGAUAAUUCUAUCUUCAUAUCCAAAAUGUAUGCGAUAAUUCUAUCUUCCUAUCUUCUAUAUCCACGUGUUUUCUUUUUCUUUUCUUUUUUUUUUCAAAUACCCCAGAAAAUCUGAGACACGUUCACUCGGUAUUUGUAUUUGAAGAAUAUCUGAAAACACAAGAAACCAAUUUUAGGUUGGUCUGUA